GGAUUUUGUUAUCUAUUUGGGAUCCCCAGAGAUUCCAUAUGAAUGGAUGAAGUUUUGCUCUGUCCCCAAGCUGGAAUGCAGUGGUGCAAUCUUGGUUCACUGCAACCUCCGCCUCCCAGGUUCAAGCUAUUCUCCUGUCUCAGCCUCCUGAGUAGCUGGGAUUACAGGUGCAUGCCACCAUGCCCAGCUAAUUUUUAUAUUUUUAGUAGAGACUGGGUUUCACCAUGUUGGCCAGGCUGGUCUCGAACUCCCGACCUCAGGUGAUCCGACUGCCUCAGCCUCCCAAAGUGCUGGGAUUACAAGCAUGAGCCACUGCGCCCAGACUUAAUGAUCAUUCUUUAACAGCCCUUUCUUGAUUUGUGUGUUUGUAUGUGUGUGUGUGUGUGCGUGGGUGUGAAUGUAAUGCAUGUAGUGGAGGUGUUUCUUAUAUAUUAUUUUUCCUUUUCCUUUUUUCUUAUGUCUAUUACUACUCCAUUUUAUAACAUUUAUAUUCUAUAUUAGCAAAAUUGUUAUCUCAAAUUUAAUGUUUGUAAGGUUCUUGUCACUAACCAAUCUAUCUUUAUAGUUUCUCUGUCAGCAGUUUUUUUUUUAUAACAGAGUUAUUUACUUUUUUAUUCAUGCUUCUUUUCAUUCAUCAUCUUUUGGUGUGUUUCUCUCUGUAGUGGAUAUCAUGUUUGCUCAUCUUUGAAAUGUCUUGUUAUAUAUAACAUUUGUAAGAAACAUGUUGAAAUUUUAUGCUCACAUUUUCAAGCUGCAUUUCAAGCUCUUUCUCUUGGUCUGUAAUAAUCAAUUUAUAAGGUUAUUUCAUUCACAAACUAAACUUAAAAAAUUCUGAUAUGGCAUGCUUGUUCAUUUGUAUGUCUGGAUUCUGGUCAUACUUACUCUUUAUUUUUAUUUGUACACAUAAAUUAUACUUCAUGAAUAUAUAUUUUCAUUCAUUAAGAAUAAAUAAAACAUUAAUAAAUCAGCAUUCUCUUACUUUCAAAGGA
rnacentral:lncRNA from 1 species